GGUGUCACUGGUGGAUUGUAAGACUCAUCGGGCAUCAUCUUGAUGAUCGAUGGCCCUCGAAGGGUAGAAUUGAAAAUAUUCCAAUCCAUCGAAAAGCGUUUCGAUGAUACUGUAAUAGAGAUCACAAUAUAUUUCACUACCAGAUAGAAUAGAACCUAUGGGGUCACAUAUUAAGAGAUUCAAUUUUGAAUUUAUCAAUUGGGCUUAUGAAGUUCAAAUUGGGUUAGG
rnacentral:lncRNA from 1 species